CAAUUACUCAAGUAAAUCCCUCUCCAAUCCCUCAGCGUGAACAUAACCUAAGUCCAGUUUUUGGCCGCAGCUCAUAAAGAGGUCAUCCCAGAAGUGUGAAAAGAGUGCAGAAAAGAACGACGGAAUGAAUAGGAGGUAUAGAAGAAGGUCCCAGGGGAGUCCUCAGAGGUCGCCGCAUAUACUGUGGUAACGGAAGACGUAUUUAAUCACCGCGUUCCUAGAAUGAGAGCGCGUUACCGCCAUCCCAACACGACUGCCAUGACGCAUCACGAGCGAGAUCUCCUCUUCUGCUCCUUCUUUCCACAAACUGUUUGUUGAUGUAAUUAGGACGAAAUGCGUGCAAGGGCUCCGCAUACUCCAUGUACUGUGAUGGCAGGCGGGGACUCGGGGAAUAACCUAGUAAACCGUCUCCGUUUCCAAACCACCAAGCACAAAAAUGCGCCUAAUUUAUCAUAUAGUAAAAG